UUAGUCCUAGUCUAGGUGCACA
rnacentral:miRNA from 1 species